UCAUUGUAAUAUCCCUCGCUUUUAAAAAUUAUUAAUAAAGAUUUAUAUGUAAAUUGGAGGACCUAUAUGUAAAUAUAGAAAUUACAAGGACUAAACUGCUAAGUUGCAAAAAAAAAAGAAAAAAAAAAGGGAAAACCGAAAAUUCGGUAUUAUCCCACCGCCUCCCACGCACUCUCUGUUUCUUCGAGAAACAGAGAGGAGCGGUGGGGCAUGAGGAGUGAAGAAAAGAAGAAGAAGAGGGAAAAGAAGAGAGGAGGAAGAAGAGAGGAAGAAGAGGGAGAAGAGAAGAAGAAGAAGAAGAGGAGGUGGCUGCAGCGAGGGCUGCAGCGAGGAGCUGUGGGGCGUGGGGAGAAGAAGAGAGGAAGAAGAGGGAGAAGAGAAGAAGAAGAAGAAGAAGAAGAAGAAGAAGAGAGGAGGAUAGCUGCGGCAAGGCUGCAGCGAGGAGGUGUGUGGCUUUGGGGAGGAAAAGGGUAGAGGAGAAGAAGAGAAGGAGAAGAAGAGGGAAAAGAGAGGCAGCUGCAGCAGCCAGGGCUGCAGCACCUCUGUUUCCCGCAGGUGGAAACAGAGGAGAGGAUGUGUGGGGCGUUGAGGAUGAAAAGGGAAGAAGAAGAAGAAGAAGAAGAAGAAGAAGAAGAAGAAGAAGAAGAAGAAGAUAGCUGCAGCAAGGCUGCAGCGAGGAGAUGUGUGGCCUUGGGGAGGAAAAGGGAAGAGGGGAAGAGGAGAAGAAGAAGAAGAGGAAGAGAAAGAGGUGUGAUACCUCUGUUUCCUGCAGAGGAAACAGAGGAGAGGGUGUGUGUGACGCCGGGGAAGAAGGGGCUGCAGCUGCGGCGAUGGCAGCUGCAGCUGGAAGAGAAGAAGAAGAGGAAGAUGAGCAGGGGAGGAGGGAGAGGUUGCGGCCGUGGCUGCGGCCGCGACUGCAGCAGUUGCAGCGGGGAGAGAAGAAGAAGAAAGGAAGGAGAAGGAAGAGGAGAAGGGAAAGAAGUAGCUGCGGCUGCGGUUGUGGCAGCUGCAGCUAUGGCAGGGAAAGAGGAAGAGAAAAAGGAAAGGAAGAAGAGAGAAAGGGAAGGAGAGGAAGAAGAGAGGAAGAGGAGAAGGGGCUGCGGCUGCGGCGAUGGCAGCUGCAGCUGUGGCAGGGAAAGAGAAAAAGGAAAGGAAGAAGAAGAGAAAGGGAAGGAGAGGAAGAAGAGAGGAAGAGGAGAAGGGGCUGCGGCUGCGGUGAUGGCAGCUGCAGCUGUGGCUGGGAAAGAAGAGAAGGAAAGGAAGAAGAAGAGAAAGGGAAGGAGAGGAAGAAGAGAGGAAGAGGAGAAGGGGUGGCAGCUGCGGCAGUGGCAGCUGCAGUUGGAAGAGAAGUAGGAGAGGAAAUAGAGCAGGGGAGGAAGAAGAGGCUGCGAGUGUGGUGGCUGCGGCCGUGGCUGCGACUCCGGCUGCGGCUGCAACGUUGGCUGCGGUAGCUGCGGCAGCGGUGGUGGCUGCAGUAGCUGCUUUUGGGAAAGAGAAAGAGUAGGAACGAGAGAAGGGAAGAAGGAAAUAGUGCAGUGGAAGGGGGCUGCGGUUGUGACCGCAGUUGCGGUCGUGGCUGCGAUUGUGGCAGCGGCAGCGGCGGCGGCUGUGGCAGCUGCGUUUGGGAAAGAAAAAGAAGGAAUGAGAGUAAGAGAGAGCAGGUGACUGUGCCUCGAUGUUCGACACGUGGUGUAGUUGCGAAGAAAGGAAGAAAACGGGAGCACAAAACGAAACAGAGAGAGGACACGGAGGAAAAGUAGAAGGAUUUGAGCUGGCACCUUCUUUGGAUCUUCGGAUCGAAAUCAUUGAAAGGUCAGCUUGUCACUCUUCGAGAUGUUGGAUUUGGGCUGAGGCAGUGGAUAGCUAUUCAGAAUAAUGGGCAAGUCUGGUUGGUUAUUACGAUAUUGUUGUAUAAGUAUGUCUUGUAUGUAAUGAAAUGUUGUCGAUGAACCGAAAUGGAUAUACUGUGUCAAAGUGUUAGGAGAUCUCUCUUAUUUGGAAUUUCGAAAUGUUAAGCCUACUUUAUGAUGAUAUGAACUUGUGGUGAAUAGUUGGAGUUCUGAUUGUAUAAUUUAUUUAGCUUGUGGAUUUAUAAGUGUUGUUCAUGUUUGUCAAGUUGGCUUGGGUUGCCAUAAAUGUGAAUUAUCGAGUGAUGUGAUAUAUGAUUAUAAACUGCACAGGUUUUAUGGAUGUGAAUAUGAAUAGAAUGUUUUCAGUGUCCUCAAACGUUAGUUUGGAUCCUGGAUUGGUCUGUGACGAAAAUUUUAAAAAUCAUGGAUAUUUUGAGGGGCGUGACAGAGGUGGUAUCAGAGCAUUGUUUGAGGAUUACUGAAAUAUUUGAUAUGUUGACGUGCAAAAUAUAUUGAGGUCUAAUGAACUAUAGUGAUUGGUGGAAAUUUUCUUUGAUGUAUUUUAGGAAUCUGGGAUGAUGAGGACAUUUGGUCCUCCUAUUUCAUUGUUUCUGAUUAAUUAAGGGGUAAUCGGGGAUAUUGAAUCAGAGUGGCGCAGCGGAAGCAUGGUGGACCUAAUUUCAUUGGUGGUAGAAAAAUGAAUGAUGCAAACAGAGAAGAUAUUUGAUGUACAAAAUUGUUUUGAUGAUCAAAAGAUUUCUUUUGCCACCUUAUAUUGGAAGUAGAGGCUGAUUAUUAUUGGCAACAAUGAAAAGAAUUUUUGGAGAUCAGUGACAAGAAUGAUAAGGACAAGUUUACCAAUAAGAAUAUGAUUGGAAAUGAAUCAGUAAGUAAUGUCAGGAGGGUCAAGACAUUUGGAUUUGAAAAAGGAAGUCACCACAAAAGACUCAAUCACGUGUGAAUUGUAAGUUAAAUUAUGAAACAAGUUUGUGUUUUCGGGUGAUUGGAGUCUAUUUUGCUUGUAGAAAGUUGGAUCAUAAAAUAAAAGUUUGCCCUUUGAACAAGAAGAAAGAGUCACUGCCUCCUAAAUUAUCAGCCCAUGUAAGAGUGUAUGCUAUCACUAAAUAUGAUUCUGAAACUUCUGAAUUAGUGGUCAAAGGUAUUAUGCAUGUUUAUGAAAGAAUGCAAAUAUUUGUUUGACCAUGGGUCCCAUCUAUGAUUUGAUUCGUAAUAUUCUGCCUAUCACUUGGGUAUUCAACCUAGACCACUACAUUAUGUGCUAUAAGUAAAUACGAUCAUUGGAGAUUCUUUGAUAACGAAGUUGAAUCUGGUCCUCUUGUCUGAUUCUUAUUGGAGAACUUGAACUUUUGCUGAUUUAGUUCUCCUAGAGAUUUGGAGUUUUGAUAUUAUACUUGGUAUGGAUUGGCUAUCUUCCUAACAUACCAGUAUGGAUUGGUAUAUAACAAAUGAUCACUUUUUGCAUAUUUGAUCAGCCGAUCUUUUAUUUUGAGAGUAUUGGACAUUAUUUAUCUCCUUGCCUAAUGUAUCCCAGGAUGACUUGUUUGGAUUACCUCCAAAUGUGAUUUUGCUUUUGAUUUGGUCCUUGGGACAAUCCUAAAAUCUAAGCCUCUCUACAGAAAGAUAUCAUUUGAGUAAGUGGAAUUAGAAAAGCAACUACAAGGAUUAUUAAAUGAGGAUUUUAUUUGGCUUAAUAUUUCAUCAUGGGGUGCUCCGGUGUUAGUUAAAAGAUGGAUGGAACAUUGAGGCUUUGUAUUGAUUAUAGAUAGUUGAAUUAGGUGACCAUCAAAAAACGAGUAUUUUCUGAAGUAACGACUUGCUCGAUUAAUUACAGGGUACGCAAGUAUUUUUAGAAAUUGAUUGAAGGUCGGGUUACCGUCUAUUGAGGAUCAAGGAGGAGAAUAUUUCGGUCACUCGUGGAUAAUUAUGUAAUUGUAUUGUAUUGAUGAAACUAUUUAAGAGUAGGAGGAGGAAAUAAAGAUAUCAUAAUCCUCAUCUUUUCAUCGAUUGAGCUAUGAUCAAUUUAGAGGACUAAAUUUUCUUUUAAGGGGGGGAGAGUGUAAUAUCCCUCGCUUUUAAAAAUUAUUAAUAAAGAUUUAUAUGUAAAUUGGAGGACCUAUAUGUAAAUAUAGAAAUUACAAGGACUAAACUGCUAAGUUGCAAAAAAAAAAGAAAAAAAAAAGGGAAAACCGAAAAUUCGGUAUUAUCCCACCGCCUCCCACGCACUCUCUGUUUCUUCGAGAAACAGAGAGGAGCGGUGGGGCAUGAGGAGUGAAGAAAAGAAGAAGAAGAGGGAAAAGAAGAGAGGAGGAAGAAGAGAGGAAGAAGAGGGAGAAGAGAAGAAGAAGAAGAAGAGGAGGUGGCUGCAGCGAGGGCUGCAGCGAGGAGCUGUGGGGCGUGGGGAGAAGAAGAGAGGAAGAAGAGGGAGAAGAGAAGAAGAAGAAGAAGAAGAAGAAGAAGAAGAAGAGAGGAGGAUAGCUGCGGCAAGGCUGCAGCGAGGAGGUGUGUGGCUUUGGGGAGGAAAAGGGUAGAGGAGAAGAAGAGAAGGAGAAGAAGAGGGAAAAGAGAGGCAGCUGCAGCAGCCAGGGCUGCAGCACCUCUGUUUCCCGCAGGUGGAAACAGAGGAGAGGAUGUGUGGGGCGUUGAGGAUGAAAAGGGAAGAAGAAGAAGAAGAAGAAGAAGAAGAAGAAGAAGAAGAAGAAGAAGAAGAUAGCUGCAGCAAGGCUGCAGCGAGGAGAUGUGUGGCCUUGGGGAGGAAAAGGGAAGAGGGGAAGAGGAGAAGAAGAAGAAGAGGAAGAGAAAGAGGUGUGAUACCUCUGUUUCCUGCAGAGGAAACAGAGGAGAGGGUGUGUGUGACGCCGGGGAAGAAGGGGCUGCAGCUGCGGCGAUGGCAGCUGCAGCUGGAAGAGAAGAAGAAGAGGAAGAUGAGCAGGGGAGGAGGGAGAGGUUGCGGCCGUGGCUGCGGCCGCGACUGCAGCAGUUGCAGCGGGGAGAGAAGAAGAAGAAAGGAAGGAGAAGGAAGAGGAGAAGGGAAAGAAGUAGCUGCGGCUGCGGUUGUGGCAGCUGCAGCUAUGGCAGGGAAAGAGGAAGAGAAAAAGGAAAGGAAGAAGAGAGAAAGGGAAGGAGAGGAAGAAGAGAGGAAGAGGAGAAGGGGCUGCGGCUGCGGCGAUGGCAGCUGCAGCUGUGGCAGGGAAAGAGAAAAAGGAAAGGAAGAAGAAGAGAAAGGGAAGGAGAGGAAGAAGAGAGGAAGAGGAGAAGGGGCUGCGGCUGCGGUGAUGGCAGCUGCAGCUGUGGCUGGGAAAGAAGAGAAGGAAAGGAAGAAGAAGAGAAAGGGAAGGAGAGGAAGAAGAGAGGAAGAGGAGAAGGGGUGGCAGCUGCGGCAGUGGCAGCUGCAGUUGGAAGAGAAGUAGGAGAGGAAAUAGAGCAGGGGAGGAAGAAGAGGCUGCGAGUGUGGUGGCUGCGGCCGUGGCUGCGACUCCGGCUGCGGCUGCAACGUUGGCUGCGGUAGCUGCGGCAGCGGUGGUGGCUGCAGUAGCUGCUUUUGGGAAAGAGAAAGAGUAGGAACGAGAGAAGGGAAGAAGGAAAUAGUGCAGUGGAAGGGGGCUGCGGUUGUGACCGCAGUUGCGGUCGUGGCUGCGAUUGUGGCAGCGGCAGCGGCGGCGGCUGUGGCAGCUGCGUUUGGGAAAGAAAAAGAAGGAAUGAGAGUAAGAGAGAGCAGGUGACUGUGCCUCGAUGUUCGACACGUGGUGUAGUUGCGAAGAAAGGAAGAAAACGGGAGCACAAAACGAAACAGAGAGAGGACACGGAGGAAAAGUAGAAGGAUUUGAGCUGGCACCUUCUUUGGAUCUUCGGAUCGAAAUCAUUGAAAGGUCAGCUUGUCACUCUUCGAGAUGUUGGAUUUGGGCUGAGGCAGUGGAUAGCUAUUCAGAAUAAUGGGCAAGUCUGGUUGGUUAUUACGAUAUUGUUGUAUAAGUAUGUCUUGUAUGUAAUGAAAUGUUGUCGAUGAACCGAAAUGGAUAUACUGUGUCAAAGUGUUAGGAGAUCUCUCUUAUUUGGAAUUUCGAAAUGUUAAGCCUACUUUAUGAUGAUAUGAACUUGUGGUGAAUAGUUGGAGUUCUGAUUGUAUAAUUUAUUUAGCUUGUGGAUUUAUAAGUGUUGUUCAUGUUUGUCAAGUUGGCUUGGGUUGCCAUAAAUGUGAAUUAUCGAGUGAUGUGAUAUAUGAUUAUAAA